GGUAGUGUGGCCGAGCGGUCUAAGGCACUGGAUUAAGGCUCCAGUCUCUUCAACAUUGUGGGUUCAAAUCCCACUGCUGCCA
rnacentral:tRNA from 1 species